AUACGGAGGGUGCGAGCGUUACUCGGAGUCACUGGGCGUAAAGCGUCCGUAGGCGGUCGGGUAAGUCGGGUGUGAAAGCCCCGGGCUCAACCUGGGAAGUGCACCCGAUACUGCUCGCCUCGAGUGCGGGAGAGGAUGGCGGAAUUCCCGGUGUAGCGGUGAAAUGCGUAGAGAUCGGGAGGAACACCAGUGGCGAAGGCGGCCAUCUGGCCCGCAACUGACGCUGAGGGACGAAAGCGUGGGGAGCAAACAGGAUUAGAAACCCUAGUAGUCC
rnacentral:rRNA from 1 species